GAUGAACGCUGGCGGCGUGCCUAAUACAUGCAAGUCGAGCGAACGGACGAGAAGCUUGCUCUUCUGAUGUUAGCGGCGGACGGGUGAGUAACACGUGGAUAACCUACCUAUAAGACUGGGAUAACUUCGGGAAACCGGAGCUAAUACCGGAUAAUAUUUUGAACCGCAUGGUUCAAUAGUGAAAGACGGUUUUGCUGUCACUUAUAGAUGGAUCCGCGCUGCAUUAGCUAGUUGGUAAGGUAACGGCUUACCAAGGCAACGAUGCAUAGCCGACCUGAGAGGGUGAUCGGCCACACUGGAACUGAGACACGGUCCAGACUCCUACGGGAGGCAGCAGUAGGGAAUCUUCCGCAAUGGGCGAAAGCCUGACGGAGCAACGCCGCGUGAGUGAUGAAGGUCUUCGGAUCGUAAAACUCUGUUAUUAGGGAAGAACAAAUGUGUAAGUAACUGUGCACAUCUUGACGGUACCUAAUCAGAAAGCCACGGCUAACUACGUG
rnacentral:rRNA from 1 species